UACAGAGGGGGCAAGCGUUGUUCGGAAUUACUGGGCGUAAAGGGCGCGUAGGCGGCCUGUUAAGUCGGACGUGAAAUCCCUCGGCUCAACCGGGGAACUGCGUCUGAUACUGGCGGGCUUGAAUUCGGGAGAGGGAUGUGGAAUUCCAGGUGUAGCGGUGAAAUGCGUAGAUAUCUGGAGGAACACCGGUGGCGAAGGCGACUAUCUGGACGGCACCUGACGCUGAGGCGCGAAAGCCAGGGGAGCAAACGGG
rnacentral:rRNA from 1 species